rnacentral:rRNA from 1 species
UACGAAGGGGGCUAGCGUUGCUCGGAAUCACUGGGCGUAAAGGGUGCGUAGGCGGGUCUUUAAGUCCGGGGUGAAAUCCUGGAGCUCAACUCCAGAACUGCCUUUGAUACUGAGGAUCUUGAGUCCGGGAGAGGUGAGUGGAAUUCCUAGUGUAGAGGUGAAAUUCGUAGAUAUUAGGAAGAACACCAGUGGCGAAGGCGGCUCACUGGCCCGGUACUGACGCUGAGGCGCGAAAGCGUGGGGAGCAAACAGG